rnacentral:lncRNA from 1 species
UUCGUUUAAGAGGCCGAACGCAGAUUGAAGGGGGCGUUUUAACUGAUGGUAAAACUGGGCAGUGAUAUGAGAUGUACGGUGGAUUCGUUUAAGAGGUAUGAAACUUGGUCUGAAGCGAAUAUAUGAUCAAGUCUGCUCCUUAUUAUUUUGCAAGGCCCCGUCUUUCAAUAAAAAGUCAUUUUUUUAGGGAGGUCAUUGCAUAUGAGACCUGAAUCUUCCCUCCAAAAAUAAUUAUUAUUUUCCGUCCAAUGGGCCAACGCUUUUGGUCAUUUUUGAGUACCAAUUUUUAGUAUCACGGUUGUGGGCGUUUACUACGAUCAAUUUACGACCUAUUAGACUUUGAAUGAGAAAGACAUUAGUCUAUGGGACAAUAUGGAUGAUCUUGUUUUAUCCUGCACUAUUGAAUGGACCAGCGUUAUAAUGUCUGGUAAAAUUAAUGCAUUGAUGUAAUACAAUAGACUGGAGGCCCUACUAGAAGAGGAAAUUGAGCUACAUUACAAGAUGCAAGACUUGCCAUAAUGAUUGUGGAGGUUUUAAUUUUGCGAAAAG